CCUUUCGGGGUAAGUACAGUGGCGCACGGGUGAGUAAUGUAUAGGUUAUCUACCUUUUAGUGGGGGACAACAUCGGGAAACCGGUGCUAAUACCGCAUAAGCAGGAAACUGGAAAGAGGCCCUCUACUUGUAAGGUCUUGCUAAGAGAAGAGCCUGUAUGGCAUUAGCUUGUUGGUGGGGUAAUGGCCUACCAAGGCGAUGAUGCCUAGCUGGUCUGAGAGGAUGAUCAGCCACACUGGAACUGAGACACGGUCCAGACUCC
rnacentral:rRNA from 1 species